GAUGUUGAGAGGUUGGUGUUUGGCUACAGACACACAGAGAGAGAAAAGCGAAUCUGCAAAUCUGCUAGUGGAUCCAAUAGAAAAAGAGAUGCAGGAAGAAAUGGGGCCAAAAAAGCCUCUUGUUUUUGCCUACUAUGUCACCUGCCAUGGAUUUGGCCAUGCCACCCGUGUUGCCGAGGUGGUUCGCAAUCUCAUCCUGCUAGGACAUGAAAUUCACGUGGUUACAGCUGCUUCAGAGCACAUUUUUACCACAGAGAUAGAGUCACCUAAACUUUUCAUCCGGAAGGUCAAUCCCCUACCUUCCCCCAUUUUUUGUAUCCAAGACUUAAUAUGCUUGGAGGUGCUAUUAGAUAUUGGAGCCAUUCAAACAGAUGCGUUGACAGUUGAUCGUCUUGCAUUCUUGGAGAAGGUGAUUUCUGGUGUCCCGGAGGGCAAAGGUGUAUCAUCUUCCGCUGCAAUAGAAGUUGCAACAAUGUCUGCUGUGGCUGCUUCUCAUGGAUUAGAUAUUGCACCAAGAGAUCUUGCUUUGCUUUGUCAAAAGGCAUGCUAUGCUCCUAAUCAAUUUUUGUUGGAGUUCCUUUAAGUCUAAAUAUUUGCGCUGCUAUUUACCGCUUAACAUUGAUCGAGUAUCUCAUGUAAAAGGUCGAGAAUCAUGUUGUUGGUGCUCCGUGUGGUGUGGUGAAGAAAACAAACUACUAGCAAUGUUGUGUCAGCCUGCUGAAGUCUUAGGUCAUGGGGAAAUCCCUCCUCACAUACGAUUUUGGGGGAUACGACACAGGUAUACAUUUAGGGGCUACUUGGUAUGGUGGAAUGGAAUUUCCAUUCCUUUGCUUGGUAUUUUUAUUUUUCUUUGUUAGGAAUCACCAUUCCAUUCUACAUGGGAAUAGCCAUUCCUUCCAUUUAGCUAAGGAAUGGCCUUUCCAUUCCAUUUCAUUAUCUUUUCUUCUUAUUUUAGAUUUUAAUAAAAUUUUAAAACAUAUUAUAUGCUAUUUAAAUUCAAUAUCACUCAAUUUUAUAAUUUUUAAAUUUUAUAUUAAAACUAAAAUUUUAGAAUUUUUAA